ACGAUCCCUAGCUGGUCUGAGAGGAUGAUCAGCCACACUGGAACUGAGACACGGUCCAGACUCCUACGGGAGGCAGCAGUGGGGAAUAUUGCACAAUGGGCGCAAGCCUGAUGCAGCCAUGCCGCGUGUGUGAAGAAGGCCUUCGGGUUGUAAAGCACUUUCAGUCGUGAGGAAGGUGGUAGUGUUAAUAGCACUAUCAUUUGACGUUAGCGACAGAAGAAGCACCGGCUAACUCCGUGCCAGCAGCCGCGGUAAUACGGAGGGUGCGAGCGUUAAUCGGAAUUACUGGGCGUAAAGCGCAUG
rnacentral:rRNA from 1 species